rnacentral:rRNA from 1 species
AGAUUAAGUUAUUAAGGGCGCACGGUGGAUGCCUUGGCACUAGAAGCCGAUGAAGGACGUUACUAACGACGAUAUGCUUUGGGGAGCUGUAAGUAAGCUUUGAUCCAGAGAUUUCCGAAUGGGGAAACCCAGCAUGAGUUAUGUCAUGUUAUCGAUAUGUGAAUACAUAGCAUAUCAGAAGGCACACCCGGAGAACUGAAACAUCUUAGUACCCGGAGGAAGAGAAAGAAAAUUCGAUUCCCUUAGUAGCGGCGAGCGAAACGGGAAGAGCCCAAACCAACAAGCUUGCUUGUUGGGGUUGUAGGACACUCUAUACGGAGUUACAAAGGACGACAUUAGACGAAUCAUCUGGAAAGAUGAAUCAAAGAAGGUAAUAAUCCUGUAGUCGAAAAUGUUGUCUCUCUUGAGUGGAUCCUGAGUACGACGGAGCACGUGAAAUUCCGUCGGAAUCUGGGAGGACCAUCUCCUAAGGCUAAAUACUCUCUAGUGACCGAUAGUGAACCAGUACCGUGAGGGAAAGGUGAAAAGCACCCCGGAAGGGGAGUGAAAUAGAACCUGAAACCGUGUGCUUACAAGUAGUCAGAGCCCGUUAAUGGGUGAUGGCGUGCCUUUUGUAGAAUGAACCGGCGAGUUACGAUUUGAUGCAAGGUUAAGCAGUAAAUGUGGAGCCGUAGCGAAAGCGAGUCUGAAUAGGGCGUUUAGUAUUUGGUCGUAGACCCGAAACCAGGUGAUCUACCCUUGGUCAGGUUGAAGUUCAGGUAACACUGAAUGGAGGACCGAACCGACUUACGUUGAAAAGUGAGCGGAUGAACUGAGGGUAGCGGAGAAAUUCCAAUCGAACCUGGAGAUAGCUGGUUCUCUCCGAAAUAGCUUUAGGGCUAGCCUCAAGUGAUGAUUAUUGGAGGUAGAGCACUGUUUGGACGAGGGGCCCCUCUCGGGUUACCGAAUUCAGACAAACUCCGAAUGCCAAUUAAUUUAACUUGGGAGUCAGAACAUGGGUGAUAAGGUCCGUGUUCGAAAGGGAAACAGCCCAGACCACCAGCUAAGGUCCCAAAAUAUAUGUUAAGUGGAAAAGGAUGUGGCGUUGCCCAGACAACUAGGAUGUUGGCUUAGAAGCAGCCAUCAUUUAAAGAGUGCGUAAUAGCUCACUAGUCGAGUGACACUGCGCCGAAAAUGUACCGGGGCUAAACAUAUUACCGAAGCUGUGGAUUGUCCUUUGGACAAUGGUAGGAGAGCGUUCUAAGGGCGUUGAAGCAUGAUCGUAAGGACAUGUGGAGCGCUUAGAAGUGAGAAUGCCGGUGUGAGUAGCGAAAGACGGGUGAGAAUCCCGUCCACCGAUUGACUAAGGUUUCCAGAGGAAGGCUCGUCCGCUCUGGGUUAGUCGGGUCCUAAGCUGAGGCCGACAGGCGUAGGCGAUGGAUAACAGGUUGAUAUUCCUGUACCACCUAUAAUCGUUUUAAUCGAUGGGGGGACGCAGUAGGAUAGGCGAAGCGUGCGAUUGGAUUGCACGUCUAAGCAGUAAGGCUGAG